rnacentral:lncRNA from 1 species
AUGAAGCUGUGGAGUCGCGUCUGCCUCCUCGUUCUCGCAGUCGCUGCGAUGUCCCGAGGACAACGAGCAACUUCUGAUUCACCGCGUGACAAGGAGAGUGAAGGUUCCUCUUCGCCCUCGACUCAGUCCCCGACGUCCGGCUUUUUGAAUCGCACUGAAAUGAACGGAACCCGCUCGACGCCGCCCGACCCAAAGACUCACAUGUCCACCACAGUCAACACGACUUUGGGAGAACCCAGGAAGACGGACGCAGAUGACCGCAGCAGUACGUUCAGGGCCACAGAGGAAGGCGCUGGCAGGACGUCGGCCCCGCCGCCGACCGCCGUUGUCGCCGUGACGGACGGUGCUGCCGUUGGCAGGACCACGGUUCCUAUGGCAACAGCAGCGACCUCACCAAUGCCAGUGACGAUUGAAGACAGGAGCAGUUUGUCAUGGGGUUACGUGAUCCUGGUAUUGAUCAUCUUGGUGAUCAUUGCGCUGUGUGUCAUCCUCUACUUUCUCAGGAGAACCUCCAGGACAUACUCGUUUGACCUUCAUCGUCCAAAUCCAAACGUCAAUCAAUUCAGCGAACCAACCGGCACCUUUGAACCCGUCUACCUGGACGACCUCGAUCAACCGGCCCCCAAGGAUCAAGUGACCAUCAGCGAACAGCCAGUGGCCAACGGCACAAGUCUUCAGUCAGAGGAAAAGGCCGGCAAUGGAGAGAACGCUGCACAGGAGUCGCCGGACGCAAACGGCCCGGAGACGUCGCCCACCGGCGACUCUGGAGCCUCGGGCGGCGACGACCCGGCUGACAAGACGUCCGACCCUUCGAGCUGCACAAACCUGUUCUUCGAUGACACGGGGGAGACGCAGCAGAACGAAAACAACAACAACCCAUCGGUUUGUUCCAGUGAUCCGUUCGUUGACGUCAACCUGGACGAGCCGGCGUGGUGCGACCAGCUCCUCGCCGCUCCUGAAGCGGCCUCCUCCGUCCUCCCCUUCUCUCCGUUCUCCUUCUCCUCCACCUCCUCCACCUCCUCCUCUUAG